rnacentral:misc_RNA from 1 species
CCGAGUUUUACAACUCCCAAACCCCUGUGGAACAUACCUAUAUGUUUGCCUCGGCGGAUCAGCCCGCGCCCCGUAAAACGGGGACGGCCCCGCCGCAGGAUCCACAAACUCUGUUUUUUAUUGUAACUUCUGAGUAACAAAAACAAAUAAAUCAA